rnacentral:rRNA from 1 species
UACGUAGGAAGCGAGCGUUAUCCGGAAUUACUGGGCGUAAAGCGCGCGUAGGUGGUCUUUCAAGUCGAAUGUGAAAUUUCACGGCUUAACCGGGAAGGGUCAUUCGAUACUGUUGGACUAGAGAGCGGCAGGGGGAAGCGGAAUUCCCGGUGUAGUAGUGAAAUGCGUAGAUAUCGGGAGGAACACCAGUGGCGAAGGCGGCUUCCUGGGCUGUUUCUGACACUGAGGCGCGAAAGUGUGGGUAGCGAACAGAAUUAGAUACU